UACGUAGGGUGCGAGCGUUGUCCGGAAUUAUUGGGCGUAAAGGGCUCGUAGGCGGUUUGUCGCGUCGGGAGUGAAAACCCAGGGCUUAACCCUGGGCUGGCUUCCGAUACGGGCAGACUAGAGGUAUGCAGGGGAGAACGGAAUUCCUGGUGUAGCGGUGAAAUGCGCAGAUAUCAGGAGGAACACCGGUGGCGAAGGCGGUUCUCUGGGCAUUACCUGACGCUGAGGAGCGAAGGUGUGGGGAGCGAACAGG
rnacentral:rRNA from 1 species